rnacentral:lncRNA from 1 species
UCAAAAUAUAAAGGCUUGGGGGAGAAAGAAAGAAAGUCAGCAUUUGAGAAGCCAGUGAGCUACCUCAAGGAAAAUAUCACAGAAAUAAUUGGAAAUGUGAGAGUGAGGCUCAGAGAAGCCGAAGGACCUGGAGACAGGGUUUGGGAGCCAGUCAUCUAGCUGAGGCCAAGGAUCAUUAGGGGAUGACUGAGGGGUAGGAGGGAGAGUCCCAAGGAAGUCUGGUCCUCUUUUCUGGCUGCACAAGAUGAGUGAAAAACUGCACAUAUGGCUACAUGUGAAGUCAAAGCAAAUGAGAACAAUCAUAGCCAUGAAAUGAAUUU